rnacentral:rRNA from 1 species
GUAGGGAGCGAGCGUUAAUCGGAAUUACUGGGCGUAAAGCGUGCGUAGGCGGUUCGUUAAGUUCGUUGUGAAAGCCCCGGGCUCAACCUGGGAAUGGCAAUGGAAACUGGCGGGCUGGAGUAUGGCAGAGGGGGGUGGAAUUCCGCGUGUAGCAGUGAAAUGCGUAGAGAUGCGGAGGAACACCGAUGGCGAAGGCAGCCCCCUGGGCCAAUACUGACGCUCAGGCACGAAAGCGUGGGGAGCAAACAGGAUUAGAUACCCUGGUAGUCCACGCCCUAAACGAUGCUCACUAGGUGUUGGGGAAGCGAUUCCUUGGUACCGUAGCUAACGCGUGAAGUGAGCCGCCUGGGGAGUACGGCCGCAAGGUUA